rnacentral:rRNA from 1 species
AAUGAACGCUGGCGGCGCGCCUAAUACAUGCAAGUCGAGCGAGAAGACGUAGCAAUACGUUUGUAAAGCGGCGAACGGGUGAGGAAUACAUGGGUAACCUACCCUAGAGUGGGGAAUAACUAGCCGAAAGGUUAGCUAAUACCGCGUACGCUCCUUGGACUUCGGUUCAGGGAGGAAAGCGAUGCCGAGGGUAUCGCGCUCUUGGAUGGGCUCAUGUCCUAUCAGCUUGGGUGAGGUAACGGCUCACCAAGGCUUCGACGGGUAGCUGGUCUGAGAGGACCGAUCAGCCACACUGGCACUGCGACACGGGCCAGACUCCUACGGGAGGCAGCAGUAAGGAAUAUUGCGCAAUGGGCGAAAGCCUGACGCAGCGACGCCGCGUGGGGGA